rnacentral:rRNA from 1 species
UACAGAGGGGGCAAGCGUUGUUCGGAAUUACUGGGCGUAAAGGGCGCGUAGGCGGCCUUCUAAGUCGAACGUGAAAUCCCCAGGCUCAACCUGGGAACUGCGUCUGAUACUGGAUGGCUUGAAUUCGGGAGAGGGAUGCAGAAUUCCAGGUGUAGCGGUGAAAUGCGUAGAUAUCGAGAGGAACACCUGCGGCGAAGGCGGGUUGCUGGGCUGACACUGACGCUGAUGCGCGAAAGCUAGGGGAGCGAACGGG